UGAGAAUAGAAGUUUUAAUUUAAGUUAAAUCCGGAGUUCAUUCCGGGGCAGAAAACCCUCAAAAUGACCCCCAAAAUACCCCCAAAAUCCUCAGGUUUGGGGUUGGGGGGAGGGGGGGGGGGAGGAUAUAGGGGAUAUAUUGGGGUGGGGGGCACAGAAUUGAGACCCCCCCCAACCCCAUAAUGGGGUUGAAUGGGGCGGCUCCAACCCAAGCGGUUCUCAUGGCUGCCCCCAACCGGGUGGGGGGACUUUGGGGGGGGAAAACACCCCAAAAGUGCCCAAUUUUGGGGUUUUUUGACCCAUUUUGGCCAAUGAAAGAUGGGAGACCCAACUGGUGGUGAUUUGGGGGGAAAACGCACCUCAAAAGUGCCCAAAUUUGGGGUUUUUGGACCCAUUUUGGCCAAUGAAAGAUGGGAGACCCAACUGGUGGUGAUUUGGGGGGAAAACACACCUCAAAAGUGCCCCAAUUUGGGGUUUUUGGACCCAUUUUGGCCAAUGAAAGAUGGUAGAGCCAACCAGUUGUGUUGGGAGAUCCAAUGUGUGGGGUUUGGGGGGAAAACACACCUCGAAAGUGCCCAAUUUUGGGGUUUUUUGACCCAUUUUGGCCAAUGAAAGAUGGGAGACCCAACUGGUGGUGAUUUGGGGGGAAAACACACCUCAAAAGUGCCCAAUUUUGGGGUUUUUGGACCCAUUUUGGCCAACGGGAAGAAGGGAGACCCAACUGGUGGUGUUUGGGGGGAAAACACCCCUCAAAAGUGCCCAAAUUUGGGGUUUUUGGACCCAUUUUGGCCAAUGAAAGAUGGUAGACCCAUCCGGUUGUGUUGGGAGAUCCAAUGUUUGGGGUUUGGGGGGAAAACACACCCCAAAAGUGCCCAAAUUUGGGGUUUUUGGACCCAUUUUGGCCAACGGGAAGAUGGGAGACCCAACUGGUAGUGAUUUGGGGGGAAAAGAUACCCCAAAAGUGCCUAAACUUGGGGUUUUUGGACCCAUUUUGGCCAAUGAAAGAUGGUAGACCCAUCCGGUUGUGUUGGGAGAUCCAAUGUUUGGGGUUUGGGGGGAAAACACACCCCAAAAGUGCCCAAAUUUGGGGUUUUUGGACCCAUUUUGGCCAACGGGAAGAAGGGAGACCCAACUGGUAGUCAUGUGGGGGGAAAACACACCGCAAAAGUGCCCAAUUUUGGGGUUUUUGGACCCAUUUUGGCCAAUGAAAGAUGGGAGACCCAACCGGUGGUGAUUUGGGGGGAAAACAUACCUCAAAAGUGCCUAAAUUUGGGGUUUUUGGACCCAUUUUGGCCAAUGAAAGAUGGGAGACCCAACCGGUGGUGUUGGGAGAUCCAAUGUGUGGGGUUUGGGGGGGAAAACACCUCAAAAGUGCCAAAUUUGGGGUUUUUUGACACAUUUUGGCCAACGGGAAGAAGGGAGACCCAACUGGUGGUGUUUGGGGGGAAAACACACCCCAAAAGUCCCCAAAUUUGGGGUUUUUGGACCCAUUUUGGCCAAUGAAAGAUGGUAGACCCAACUGGUGGUGUUGGAAACCCAACUGGUGGUGAUUUGGGAGGAAAACACACCCCAAAAGUGCCCAAUUUUGGGGUUUUUGGACCCAUUUUGGCCAACGGGAAGAAGGGAGACCCAACUGGUGGUGUUUGGGGGGAAAACACCCCUCAAAAGUGCCCAAAUUUGGGGUUUUUGGACCCAUUUUGGCCAAUGAAAGAUGGUAGACCCAUCCGGUUGUGUUGGGAGAUCCAAUGUUUGGGGUUUGGGGGGAAAACACAUCCUUAAAAGUGCCCAAAUUUAGGGCUUUUUGACCCAUUUUGGCCAACAAGAAGAUGGGAGACCCAACUGGUCGUGUUUGGGGGGAAAACACACCCCAAAAGUGCCCAAUUUUGGGAUUUUUUGACCCAUUUUGGCCAACGGGAAGAAAGUAGACCCAACUGGUGGUAUUUGGGGGGAAAACACACCUCAGAAGUGCCCAAAUUUGGGGUUUUUGGACUCAUUUUGGCCAAUUGGAAGUAGGGAGACCAAACUGGUGGUGUUGGGAGAUCCAAUGUGUGGGCUUUGGGGGGAAAACACACCUCAAAAGUGCCCAAAUUUGGGUUUUUUUGACCCAUUUUGGCCAACGAAAGAUGGGAGACCCAACUGGUGGUGAUUUGGGGGGAAAACACACCUCAAAAGUGCCCAAUUUUGGGGUUUUUGGACCCAUUUUGGCCAACGGGAAGAAGGGAGACCCAACUGGUGGUGUUUGGGGGGAAAACACCCCUCAAAAGUGCCCAAAUUUGGGGUUUUUGGACCCAUUUUGGCCAAUGAAAGAUGGUAGACCCAUCCGGUUGUGUUGGCAGAUCCAAUGUUUGGGGUUUGGGGGGAAAACACAUCCUUAAAAGUGCCCAAAUUUAGGGCUUUUUGACCCAUUUUGGCCAACAAGAAGAUGGGAGACCCAACUGGUCGUGUUUGGGGGGAAAACACACCCCAAAAGUGCCCUAUUUUGGGAUUUUUUGACCCAUUUUGGCCAACGGGAAGAAAGUAGACCCAACUGGUGGUAUUUGGGGGGAAAACACACCUCAGAAGUGCCCAAAUUUGGGGUUUUUGGACUCAUUUUGGCCAAUUGGAAGUAGGGAGACCAAACUGGUGGUGUUGGGAGAUCCAAUGUGUGGGCUUUGGGGGGAAAACACACCUCAAAAGUGCCCAAAUUUGGGGUUUUUUGACCCAUUUUGGCCAACGAAAGAUGGUAGACCCAACCGGUUGUGUUGGGAGAUCCAAUGUGUGGGGUUUGGGGGGGAAAACACCUCAAAAGUGCCCAAUUUGGGGUUUUUUUGACACAUUUUGGCCAACGGGAAGAAGGGAGACCCAACUGGUGGUAUUUGGGGGGAAAACACACCCCAAAAGUCCCCAAAUUUGGGGUUUUUUGACCCAUUUUGGCCAAUGAAAGAUGGUAGACCCAACUGGUGGUGUUGGAAACCCAACUGGUGGUGAUUUGGGAGGAAAACACACCCCAAAAGUGCCCAAUUUUGGGGUUUUUUGACCCAUUUUGGCCAACGGGAAGAAGGGAGAUCCAACUGGUGGUGUUUGGGGGGAAAACAAACCCCAAAAGUGCCCUAUUUUGGGUCUCUUCACCCCAUUUUGGUUAUGGAAAAGGCCAUGACACCCAACCGACACCAUUUUGGUGGCAAACACACCUCAAAAGCAACCAAUUUUGGGUCUUUUCACCCCAUUUUGGCCAACGGGAAGAAGGAAGACCCAACCGACAUCAUUUUGGUGGCAAACACACCUCAAAAGUGCCCAAAUUUGGGUUUUUUUGCCCCAUUUUGGCCACGGAAGAGACCACGACACCCAACCGACGUCGUUUUGGUGCCAAACCCACCCCAAAAGCCCCCAAUUUUGGCCUUUUUCACCCCAUUUUAGGCCUACCGGAACUCCAACACCGCCCGUAGAGCGUUGGCCAACCUUCCUCCCCCAUUGAGGGCACCGAGGGCCUCGUGUCCGUCUGUCCAUCCCUCCACCUGUCCAUCUGUCCAUCCAUCUGUCCAUUCAUCCAUCCAUGCAUCCAUCCCUCC
rnacentral:lncRNA from 1 species